GAUGAACGCUGGCGGCGUGCUUAACACAUGCAAGUCGAACGGAAAGGCUCCUGCUUGCUGGGGUACUCGAGUGGCGAACGGGUGAGUAACACGUGGGUGAUCUGCCCUGCACUUCGGGAUAAGCCUGGGAAACUGGGUCUAAUCCCGGAUAGGACGAUGGUUUGGAUGCCAUUGUGGAAAGUUUUUCGGUGUGGGAUGAGCUCGCGGCCUAUCAGCUUGUUGGUGGGGUAAUGGCCUACCAAGGCGUCGACGGGUAGCCGACCUGAGAGGGUGUACGGCCACAUUGGGCCUGAGAUACGGCCCAGACUCCUACGGGAGGCAGCAGUGGGGAAUAUUGCACAAUGGGCGCAAGCCUGAUGCAGCGACGCCGCGUGGGGGAUGACGGCCUUCGGGUUGUAAACUCCUUUCGCUAGGGACGAAGCGCAAGUGACGGUACCUGGAGAAGAAGCACCGGCUAACUACGUG
rnacentral:rRNA from 1 species